AUUGAACGCUGGCGGCAGGCCUAACACAUGCAAGUCGAGCGGAUGAAGGGAGCUUGCUCCUGGAUUCAGCGGCGGACGGGUGAGUAAUGCCUAGGAAUCUGCCUGGUAGUGGGGGAUAACGUCCGUAAACGGGCGCUAAUACCGCAUACGUCCUGAGGGGGAAAGUGGGGGAUCUUCGGACCUCACGCUAUCAGAUGAGCCUAGGUCGGAUUAGCUAGUUGGUGGGGUAAAGGCCUACCAAGGCGACGAUCCGUAACUGGUCUGAGAGGAUGAUCAGUCACACUGGAACUGAGACACGGUCCAGACUCCUACGGGAGGCAGCAGUGGGGAAUAUUGGACAAUGGGCGAAAGCCUGAUCCAGCCAUGCCGCGUGUGUGAAGAAGGUCUUCGGAUUGUAAAGCACUUUAAGUCGGGAGGAAGGGCAGUAAGUUAAUACCUUGCUGUUUUGACGUUACCAACAGAAUAAGCACCGGCUAACUUCGUG
rnacentral:rRNA from 1 species